AUUGAACGCUGGCGGCAGGCCUAACACAUGCAAGUCGAACGAGCGGCGGACGGGUGAGUAAUGUCUGGGAAACUGCCUGAUGGAGGGGGAUAACUACUGGAAACGGUAGCUAAUACCGCAUACUAUCGGAUGUGCCCAUAUGGGAUUAGCUAGUAGGUGGGGUAAAGGCUCACCUAGGCGACGCUCUCUAGCUGGUCUGAGAGGAUGAUCAGCCAAACUGGAACUGAGACACGGGCCAGACGCCGACGGGAGGCAGCAGUGGGGAAUAUUGCACAAUGGGCGCAAGCCUGAUGCAGCCAUGCCGCGUGUAUGAAGAAGGCCUUCGGGUUGUAAAGUACUUUCAGCGGGGAGGCGUUACCCGCAGAAGAAGCACCGGCUAACUCCGUGCCAGCAGCCGCGGUAAUAC
rnacentral:rRNA from 1 species